rnacentral:antisense_RNA from 1 species
CUUGGCGGAGCCCAGCAGCAGGGGCUGUCCCUCGGGCCGUUCGCGGCCGUACGUGGCGAAGAGGGCCUGGGCCUC